rnacentral:sRNA from 1 species
GAGAACCCCAGGCCUCUCUGUAUCCACAGAACAGGUACAGCACAAGCUUCAACAGGGCAAACCUCCCUGACAACGUGUCCCUGCCCUGCCCCGCCCCAGAGGGACCCUCCCUCUAGCAGGAAGAGGAGAGACUGGCCUCUUUGCUGGAACUGAC